rnacentral:rRNA from 1 species
GGAAACUGCCUGAUGGAGGGGGAUAACUACUGGAAACGGUAGCUAAUACCGCAUAACGUCGCAAGACCAAAGAGGGGGACCUUCGGGCCUCUUGCCAUCGGAUGUGCCCAGAUGGGAUUAGCUAGUAGGUGGGGUAACGGCUCACCUAGGCGACGAUCCCUAGCUGGUCUGAGAGGAUGACCAGCCACACUGGAACUGAGACACGGUCCAGACUCCUACGGGAGGCAGCAGUGGGGAAUAUUGCACAAUGGGCGCAAGCCUGAUGCAGCCAUGCCGCGUGUAUGAAGAAGGCCUUCGGGUUGUAAAGUACUUUCAGCGGGGAGGAA